rnacentral:rRNA from 1 species
UACGUAGGGUGCAAGCGUUGUUCGGAAUUACUGGGCGUAAAGCGUGCGCAGGCGGUUAUGCAAGACAGAUGUGAAAUCCCCGGGCUCAACCUGGGAACUGCAUUUGUGACUGCAUAGCUAGAGUGCGGCAGAGGGAGAUGGAAUUCCGCGUGUAGCAGUGAAAUGCGUAGAUAUGCGGAGGAACACCGAUGGCGAAGGCAAUCUCCUGGGCCUGCACUGACGCUCAUGCACGAAAGCGUGGGGAGCAAACAGG